CCACGUGGCAUCACUUUACCACAUUCUUUUGGUCACAAGGAGAAGGAAUUAUAUACCAGCUGUUUUUGGAGGCAUGUGUCAGGCUGGAAUGCACUGGCACAAUCAUGGCUCACUGCUGCCAUGGACUCAUUCCUGGGCUCAAGUCAUCCUCCCACCUCAGCCUUCUGAGCAGCAAGGACUACAGGACCUGGGUGCCAUCUUUUGAAAUGCAAUCAUUAAGGAAGAUGCAACCCGAAUCUCCCAGUGUCUGUGGGAGGGCAGGAGCUUAACCAAGGUUUUGAAGUACGAGGUUCAUCACUAUUCUACACGGAGCUCAACUGUCAAAGUCUGAACUCUCCAAUAUGGUAGUCACCAGCCACAUGUAUCUACUCAGUGAUGGAUAGGUAGCUAGUGCCACAUGUUGAAAUGAUAAUGUUUUACAUGUACUUUAAAUAUAAUAUUAUAUAUGUUUUUUUCUCCCUUUUAAAGGAAUGUGGCUACUAAAUUUUAAAAGUUACAUAUGUGGCUUGCCUUAUAUUUCCAUUAGGUAACAUCGAAAAGGUCACCCAUUGGCCUUUGACAUGCCUUGACAUAAGGAGGUUUCUCAGUGUCAAUAGUUCAAAUUAGCAGAAAUUUGCUCAAGUAGAUCCUAUCUCAGAGUGUUUUGUGUGCCUGACAUACAGAGUAUAGCAGAAUUCAGGGGCAUAGGUAAAAGCCAAAACACACACGGAGGGAUGAUAGAAAGCAAGUAUGAGAGAAGCAGUUGUGAUUUACCAGAUCAAUGAACAAGAACAAACCCAUUCAGUAGAGAGAAUACAGGCAACUUAGUUGGUGGAGUAGAAACAGAUAUGGAGAGGAGUUAGUUCCAUAAUGAUUAAAUGGUAUUAUAAUGAAGCAUUGAAGAACUUCUCAUUAUCAGUAAGAGAAAAGAAAUGUCUUGUUAAAAUAAUCAAUUGCAUUGUUCGCUAAAGCAUAUUCUGGUUGUCUUUGAAGGCUGCCCUUUCAUGAGGUCAACACUUUCUGUCAUAUAUUACUUUGAAUACAUCCUCACUAUCGAGCCUCAGUGAUUAAAUGGCCCUCAUUACUUGUUCUUCUGUCUCAAAGAACCUAAAUAAUCCAGAACUAUACAAUGGAAGGACUUGAAUAGAAUGGCCUAUGAUUGGAUGUGGUGGUCCAAGUUUAAGAGUCCCUACAACCAUCACUUCUGACACCAGUGAAAAGUUCCAUGGUUCGUAAGAACCCCUUCACUUCUGAUACCAAUUGCAAGUUUAGGGUUCCUAAAAAUCACCUUCAAGUGUAAUCAUGUGUUAGACGAACUCUGAAAGCUCAUUGAAAGUUGUUUAUACUCAGUUAUAGCUUAGUACAGCAAAAGAAUACAGAUUAAAAUCAGCUAAAGAUUGGAGAACAUAGGGCAGGGUCCUGGAGAGUUCUGAAAAUGGAGCUUCCAAUUGUCCUCUCCCAGUGGAAUUGUACAGAUAGUGCUUACUUUGCCUAGCAAUAAUGUGUGAUAAUGCAUAUGGAGAAGUGCCAGCCAGGGACAUUUACUCAAUCCUUGAUAUCUAGAAAUUUUACUAGGGCCUUGGUCACAUAGACAAAAUUGACUUCUGACGUGACUAAUCUUAGUCUUCAGCUUCCGCAGAUGUUGAGUUGACAAGCAUGGCCCGUGGCCUCCCCACAUAAAUCACAUUGUAGCAUUAGACUAUCAGGUGUGACCCAGGGCCUUUUGGUAAACAGAGACAGUCUUAUCAGGCAGGACAUACCUAUGGUUUAGAGAUGACCUUUCAGGAGCCAUAAAAAAGGGUGAAGCAAUUCUCUGCACAAAGUCAAUCUUAUUUUUUUUUUUGAGAUGGAGUUUCACUCUUGUUACCCAGGCUGGAGUGCAACGGCACGAUCUCGGCUCACCGCAACCUCCGCCUCUUGGGUUCAGGCAAUUCUCCUGCCUCAGCCUCCUGAGUAGCUGGGAUUAUAGGCACGUGCCACCAUGCCCAGCUAAUUCUUUGUAUUUUUAGUAGAGACGGGGUUUCACCAUGUUGACCAGGAUGGUCUCGAUCUCUUGACCUCAUGAUCCACCCGCCUUGGCCUCCCAAAGUGCUGGGAUUACAGGCGUGAGCCACCGCGCCUGGCCCAGUCAAUCUUUACUACACAGGGGACCUUGGUUUCAGUGAUCAGUGAUGGAGGGCCUUGAAUGUAAUGACAUCUCUCUGCCCAAACAUUGGGUAGGCACUGGGGGAUAUAUUGGAUAAACGCCAUUCAUUCAGUGCCAGUAUAGAGUUGAGAAGAAAGAAAUGUGUUUAACCUGCUUUAUUUUCUUCUAUGUAUUUUCUUUACCCUUCUAUUUAUAUCUAUUGUUAUUGCCCUCUUUUUUUUUUUUCUGUUUUCUGAUUGUUGAUGCUACAUUUUCUCAGUAACCUAAACUCUUUGUGAUGACCCAGUAGUUUAUGCAGAACAAAGACUAUUCUUUCUCUUUCUUGGAGAAUAUCAGAAAAUGCUUUAAUCUUGUACUUUUGACUAAUAUAGGGAGAGGUAAUAUUAUAGAGAGAGGCAAUACAGUCUUUCAAAUACAUACAUUUUCCAAUUUAUGUUGGUGGAUUUCUUUUCUAACAAAAGCAAUUUCUUUUCUCCAAAGAUUUAUGUCAUCUAAAGAGAGGGUAAAAUUUUAUCUCUCCAUUAUUAUAGUAUUGUUACUGGGGGAGUACCCAGCUUGUAGGUUCUUGGCCUCUCUAACCCUGAAUAAUGGGGAAAGGGCCCCAGAGGCUUUGUGUGUUUACCCUCAGAAUAAAAUUGUGGACCCAAAGAGUUUUGUGGAAGAGCAAUUUAUCAGACAGAGAGAGAAAGAGAGAGAGAAGACACCUCCCAUGCUGUUGUGGAAGAGGAACCCAAAGAGGGAAAUCCAUUCAGGUGGGAACAGCUGAAGUUUUAACCCUUGAGUUAUUCCCUCCCCAUUCAUGUUCUCAUCCAAUGAGAGGAGUUCUUUUAAACUUCCUCUGGAUGAUUGAUCUUUGACUCUGAUACCAAUUGGCUACUUGUUUUAUAGCCCUGAGUUACAGAGCUCCAUCCUCUCAGAGCUUUCAGUGGGAAUUUGGGACAAAAUUCCCUGGCUUUCCCAAGAUCACACAAUGAAUUUUACCUGCCCCGCGUGGAAGAGUUGCUCAAAGAACCCCAGCCACUUGAGGCAGGGAGCCAGGAAAUGUCUGCAUUUGAAACCCUCUGGUCUCUGGAUGGAGGCAUGGAGGAGGUGCUUAAAGAGCCCUAGCCACCUGAAGUGGGGAGAUGGGAAAUUCCUGUACUUGAAACGCCUCCCCUAGCAGACCCAGGAAGAGACAUUUCUUUAACACAGCCCCUCAGUAGGUUAUCAAGAAAAUUAUCCAAUUAUUAUGAAACCACUUUUGCAAAAAUUAUGACAGUGAAAGAAAUCUAGCAUGGCUGACUCCGUUUUGCUUCUAUCCCCACAGGCUGGCUAUCCUUGUAAUUUCUAGGUGUAAGCCAACCUAACCAUGGGAGUAAUUUAGUUUAUUGUUUAACUCUGAAGCAAGAAUGAUAAUAGUCUCUCCCUAAAAUUGGCAUCCCUUAAUUUGGGGACUGACAUCGCCUUUGUAAAACUAAUAAAAGAACACAACAUUAUGAUUAUGACAGGGUUCUUGGUAUGUUUUGGCUGUGUCCCCACCCAAAUUUCAUCUCAAACUGUAGCUCCCAUAAUUCCCACAUGUCAUGAGAGGCACCUGGUAGUAGGUAAUUGAAUCACAGGGCAGGUCUUUCCUGUGUGGUUCUCAUGAUAGUGAACAAGUCUCACGAGAUCUGAUGGUCUUAUGAAGAAGAGUUCUCCUAUAUAAGCUCUCUCGCCUACCAACAUGUGUGCUGUCUCUUUGUUCUUCCUUAAUGUUCCGCCAUGAUUGUGAGGCCUCCCAACCAUGUGGAACUAUGAGUUCAUCAAAUCUGUUUUUCUUUAUAAAUUACCCAGGCGUGAGUAUGUCUUUAUUAGCAGCAUAAAAACGCACCAAUACAAGCUUGAAUUCUGCUAAGAUGUAGGCAUAGUUAAACAAUAGUUAGCCAUUGUUUUUCUAUAAUCCCUUUCAGCUCAUGUGUCAAGUGGCCAUGGGUCAAAAUGUUUGUGACUUCCCCAGUUGCUCCCAUAGAUAAUAUCACUAUUGUAGAAUCUACGAUUAGUCUUUUGAAAUGUUUUCCAGGCUUUUGCAUUCUGGUGAUUGAGUGACUCCAUCCAGGCUUGUGACUCAUUCAGCUGGCCCUGUGGUCCCCACCCAGAGGCUACUUAGUGCACAAGGACCAUUUUCCGUACACCUAUGAUUUUAUCCCUAAUCAGAAGCACCCAUUCCCUAGCCCCCUUCCUGCCAUAUUAUUCAUAGAAACUCUAGUUUGUGUUGAAUUCUUGGUGAGGAUGAUUUGAGUAGUAAAAUCCUGUACUUCUGCUCCACUAGCUUUCUGUUAGUUAAACUUUCUCUUUACUACAAUACUACCAUCUCUGUGAGUUAGUUUUGUCUGUGCAGCAGGCAAGAAGAAACUAUCAGCCAAUCACAGUUACAUGGAGGACUAUUCAGCAUGAGAUAAUCUUUUAAAUUCAAGUCCGUUUAAUGUUUAGGCACAAGAUAUUCUUCUCUGAGAUAAAGGUGUCUCCCAAACACCAAAUUUUAGAGACAAUAGAAAAGAUAACAACCAAAGAAGUUUUCUAUGUCCUACACAGCAAAUAAAAGGAAGAAAAAACCAUCAGCAAUACCCUAUCACAAAUGGAGCCUACAACACAUUCUAAGAUAAAAUGUAGUAGACUAUCACCAGGAAUUAUAGGUAAUAAAAAGGAGAAACAAACAAUAACAAAGGAGUUAUUGUAAUAAUAAAAACCUAACAAUAAGACUGACUGAAAUAAGCUCAGCCUUGCCAAACUUAAUUCCAUGGGAGGAGCCCCCAUUUGAGGUUUUCUUACUUCUUUAAACUUACUAGCUCUUGAAGUUAAAAAGCCUCAUGCAAUAUGGUAGUAAUUAUUGCUGCUCAUUAAUCUUUUAUACCUUAUUACUUCCCAGUCUCUAGAAAGGAUUACAUUUCUUAGACUGCCUUGUUUAGCUGGGACAAGUGAUAGCCCUGGCCAAAGAGAAAUGAGCACAAGAAAUGUGCGUCACUUCCAUUAGAAUAAUUUAAUUGCUCGUAAAAGACUCUCCAGAGCUUUCCCUUUUUGUUUUUUAAUGAUAACUCUUGAUUUCUAGAUGGUGGUUUUUCCAUGAGAAUGAAAUGUAAUGGCAAUGAGCAAAGUGAGUGCCCAGCCAACCAGAGAUUGACAGGUAAUAUAAGUGAGGUAUAAACCACUUUUGUUUUAAGCCAGUGAUAUUUGGUAAUAUUAACACAGUUUAAUCUGACCCAUUCUCACCUAUACCCACAACUAUGAGAAAUGAUAAGCAAAGUCAACCUAGCAGUGAUUAUAAAUAACAUUAUUUUCUUUCCCUAAGUUUUGACCCUGAAGAAUGAUAAUCUAAAACUCAAUCCUAUCUUCAUUACAGAUUUAAACCUCUGGAAAGGGUUAAUUAAAUUGUGUUGGCUGGGCAUGGUUACUUACAUCUGUAAUCCUAGCACUUUGUGAGGCCAAUUCAGGUGGAUCACUUGAGGCCUGGCCAACAUGGUGAAACUCCAUCUCUACUGAAAAUACAAAAAUUAGCUGGAUGUGGUGGCAUGUGCCUGUAAUCCCAGCUCUUGGGAGACUGAGGCAUGAGAAUCACUUGAACUUGGCAGUCAGAAUUUGCAGUAAGCUGAGAUUGUACCACUGCACUCCAGCCUGGGCAACAGAGUGAGACUCUAUCCUAAAAAGUAAUAAUAAUUUUUGAAAAUGGUGUUUACUGCAGUUCACAGUGAAAAAUGUAAAUUGCAUCUCAUUCAAAUGGACCCAGAAUAAAGAUAGCUCUAAAAUCGCCUCAUUCUGUAUAUUGCUAAUGACUACUGAAAGGUGUGGAAAUAUGAUCAAUACCUCCAAAUGAAACAUUUCAAGCAUUCAGGGAAGAGUGCUAUUUAAGGUGAAUAUCAGUAUUACUGGAUUUUUACAUUUAACGUAGAAUGAGUGUGGUGGGAUACAGGAUUGCCCAUCUUUCUUCCAGCAGCACUAGUCUACCACUACCUGUAUUACAGGCCAGAUGUGGACUUUAUUUUACAUACACUAAUCUCCUUGAAGUAUAAUUUCAAAAUAUAUUUUAAACUAAUCUAGUGUUUGACUUGUUUGUUUAUACCUUUGGCCUGUUACAAGUGUUAAGGUGGCAGAAAGUAAACGGCAAAGAACCAUUCUUUCAUUCAUGUAAUCGUCGGCGUUGAUGGCAGGAUCCUUACACUUAGAAGCUGUGCAUAAACCUGGAAAGACAACUGGGAGGAGGAUGAUAAUGUGACCAUAAAUGAUAUACAAAACUUAAUUCUGGAAAUGUUUAGAGUGCCAUCAAAACUUUAGGUGGAAGAAUUACGUGUGUGUGCAAACUGAGAUGCGGUUAGAUCCAAGGGUCUUUAAAUGAAUUGAUCAACAAAAAAGAAUUUAUGAAGCUCCUGUGCUGUUUGACCUUUUAGACCCUGUAGUCAUCUGAUGAAAUAUUUAAAUAGCCAUAUAUAUUUUUUAUGCUGUCAAAUUAGAAGGCAUCUGUUACUACAGUUACUCCAUUUGUAGAUGCCGGGGGGGAAUAUGCAUAUGCAGUAUUGCUAAAACAGGUCUCUUUUAAGGUUUUUAAGGUUUCAAUAUUGCGACCCCAAAUCAGCCAAAGGAGUAAUAAUGAAAAACUGUAAAUAAAGCAGGUGAGCUUUGGACCAUGCUACAUAAUUAAUGGUGAAAUUCAUGGGAUUGGUAGAAAAUGUAAUCAUUAAGUGACUGUCCAGUGGCCCAGAUAUCAGACCAUACAUGUAUUAUCAUGUCCUUUGACAACACUAUUCCAAACUCCUGGCCUCAAGUGACCCUCUGACCUCUGCCUCCCACAGCACUGGGAUUAUAUGCCUGAGCUACUGUGCCCAGCCUUUGACAAUACUAGAAACCCACGUUGCAUAAAGAAAGCAAUUACUAGAAGCAUAUGAGCAAGAAAACCAUAGAAUAAUUAUUAUUGCAAGCUUUCUCAUCAGAGACAGAGGUCCCAGUCUCAGCACUGUCAUUUUUUAAAACUGUGGCAUUAUGCCUGUUUGUUCAUUCAACAUAUAUUUAUUAAGCAUCUAUAAUGUAUUGGAGUUUUUGUACUGGGCACUGGGCACACUUGGUAGAACCAAGCAGACAAACAAGCAAGAGGCAUAGGGACUCCUGUCCUCACUAAGCUUAUAGACUAAGAUAGGGAACACAGAAAUCAAAGAAUCAUCAAAUAAAUUAACAGUCUUAAUUGUGAAAAAUAUUACCAAGGACAGCAUAUUAGAGGAGGAAUUGACCUAGUCAGGCUCUCAUCUUCAGGUUGAGUGACAUUUAUACACGUAUCUCAGGAUUACGGUGAAGAUGAAGAAAAUUAAUAUAUAUUAACAGCUGACAUAAAAUAAGAACUGUACAAAUUUUCCCUUUCUGUUUUCUCUGUUCUUUUAAUUGCAGGUAAAUGAAGUACAUGAAUGAAUUUCCAGAUAAUUGUUCUUGCUUAUUACAUGAUUCUGAAGUGUUAUGAAUGGGUUUUUUUUCAAUUGUACUUUAGA